rnacentral:rRNA from 1 species
GAUCUAAAUUGAUUUAGCAGUUCUUAUAUCAAAAAGAUUGAAGAAUUUAAUUUAGGGAUUAAAUGUUAAUCGUUUUUAUUAAUAUCUAGUAACUUUAGAAAUAAAUUUAGUUUAGGUUUUUGAGGAGUUGCUGCUUUUUUUAAGAUCUUAUGUUUUAAGGGAUGAGCUUUAAAAUUAAUUUAUAAGAAGCGUAAUUUUCUGAAUUUUUGGUAGGCUUGGAAUUGGUCAUGAGAUAGUGUUAUAAGAUAAAAAAUUUAGGGUAUGAUUUUAUUUUCUUUUUGAAGUAUAAGGUUAAUUAGGAAAUUAUUUAAAUAUUGAAAAUAUGAUAGUAUGAGUAGAAGAAAAAAUGAAAUUUUUUUAGUGUGUGAUAGAUUAUAAUUUAUGAUAAAAGAAUUCGGCAAAUAUGAUUUCCGAAUGUUUAACAAAAACAUUUCCUCUUGUAUAAGGGAGGUAAGACCUGCUCACUGAGAAUUUGAAGAGCCGCAGUAUUUUGACUGUGCUAAGGUAGCAUAAUCAUUAGUCUUUUAAUUGGAGACUGGUAUGAAUGGUUAAACGAGAAAUCAGCUUUUUUUAUUGUAGAAGUUGAAUUUAAUUUUUUAGUGAAAAAGCUAAAAUUUUUCAGAAAGACGAGAAGACCCUAUAGAGUUUUAUAUUUUUAAAAAUUUUUUUUAAUUAGAUUUUUAUAAUGGAAAUUUUAAGAAAUGUUUUGUUGGGGCGACAUUUAGAUAAGAAAAACUCUUUAUUUUAAGAACUUUUAUGAAAGAAUUAUUUGAUCCUUUAAAUAAGAUUAAAAGAAAAAAUUACCUUAGGGAUAACAGCGUAAUCUUUUUUGAGAGUUCUAAUCGACGAAAAGGUUUGCGACCU